rnacentral:rRNA from 1 species
AGAGUUGAUAUGGCUCAGGAUGAACGCUAGCGACAGGCUAACACAUGCAAGUCGAGGGGCAGCAUAAAAGUAGCAAUACUUGGUGGCGACCGGCGCACGGGUGAGUAACGCGUAUGCAACCUACCUAUCGAGAGGGGAAUAACCCGGCGAAAGUCGGGCUAAUACCGCAUAAAACAGGGACACCGCAUGGUGAUAUUGUUAAAGAAAUUCGCUGAUAGAUGGGCAUGCGUUCCAUUAGGUAGUUGGUGAGGUAACGGCUCACCAAGCCGACGAUGGAUAGGGGAACUGAGAGGUUGGUCCCCCACACUGGUACUGAGACACGGACCAGACUCCUACGGGAGGCAGCAGUGAGGAAUAUUGGUCAAUGGGCGAGAGCCUGAACCAGCCAAGUCGCGUGAAGGGAAAAGAAGGAUCUAUGGUUCGUAAACUUCUUUUGCAGGGGAAUAAAGUGCAGGACGUGUCCUGUUUUGUAUGUACCCUGAGAAUAAGGAUCGGCUAACUCCGUGCCAGCAGCAGC